rnacentral:rRNA from 1 species
AACGAACGCUGGCGGCAUGCCUAACACAUGCAAGUCGAACGUGAUCCAUGACUUCGGUUGUGGUGAAAGUGGCAAACGGGUGAGUAACGCGUGGGAAUCUGCCCAGAGGUAGGGAAUAACCGCGGGAAACUGCGGCUAAUACCCUAUGUGCCCUACGGGGCAAAGAUUUAUCGCCUUUGGAGGAGCCCGCGUCGGAUUAGGUAGUUGGUAGGGUAACGGCCUACCAAGCCUACGAUCCGUAGCUGGUCUGAGAGGAUGAUCAGCCACACU